UGCUCGAGCGCUUUUAGAGAAUACCAACAGCAAUAACGUAAUUUCAUUGACGUUUUGCUUCUUAUAUUUUUAAAGCUAAUCAAGUCGACGGCGAGGAUUUUUUCAAUUUAGAGCCACAUGAUAUUUAUCAGACGAUUCCUCGAAUAAAACUUCACAAGAAGUUUAUGAAGGAACGAUGGAAUAAAACUUCGUAAGACAUGAAGGAACGAUGGAAUUUGCACAAAUAUAAAAUGCUGUCUGUUAUUAAAAGACAAAGCAAAAGAAUGUCAGCAGUAUCCUUGAAGAGCUGGAGGAUUGUCCAGUUGAAGAUGAGAAAGAGGUCAAGAACCAGUGUAUAAUGGCAUGUUUGCCUUAUGUGUUAGAUGACCAAUGCACCCAUCGAGAUAUGAACAAAAAGCUAUUUUGGGACAUUGUUGAUGGCAAAAGCUUGGGGGAAGUUCAAGAGAUCAUUCACAAAAGUUCGUCUCCUAGACUCCUAUCAACAGGAACAUUAAGAAACAUUCAUUCAAUAAUGUUGGUGGCUGAGGGGAUGAUUGUGGCAAAGCUGAAAACAGAAAAUAUUGUCAAUGCAGUAAUUAUUUUACUUAGUUCUUUUUAUACUUUUAAUGCUGAGUAUCCUAAAGGCAUUAAUGGACAUUGCAAAAAUGUAUUUAUUCUUUUAGAACAUUUGCUUUUAAAUUCGAAUGGCAAUUGUAAGUGUCAAUUGCCAACUUUUGUCGAUCAUUUUAUUUCUUCUAUGAAGUAGAAAACUUUUGUAGUGUUAAUUUAUCGCAUGUAGUAGAGAUUUUAAGUAUUCUGUGUUUGCAAAAAAUGUUCUAUUUAUAA